AACGUGGCGAAAGGGUGAGUAACGGAUAGACAAUCUACCCUCAACACCGGGAUAAUCCAUCGAAAGGUGAAGUAAUACCGGAUGGUAUACUGUUUCUACGGAGACAGUAUUAAAGGGGGCUUCGGCUUCCGGUUGAGGAGGAGUCUAUUUCCUAUUAGCUUGUUGGUGCGGUAACGGCGCACCAAGGCUGUGAUGGGUAGGGGGCCUUAGCGGGUGGCCCUCCACACUGGGACUGAGACACUGCCCAGGUUCCUACGGGAGGCUGCAAUCGAGAAUCCUCCGCAAUGGGCGAAAGCCUGACGGGGUGACGCCGCGUGACCGAUGAAGGCUCUUACGGGUCGUAAAGGUCUUACAGGGAGUAUGAAAUAUACUGGGGCUAAUAUCUCCAGUAUUUGACGUCAAUCUCAAAUGAAGUCACGGCUAAAUUUGUGCCAGCAGCCGCGGUAAGACAAAUGCGGCAAGCGUUGUUCGGAAUCACUGGGCAUAAAGGGCACGUAGGCGGCGUAGUAAGUUAACUGUGAAAUCCCCCGGCUCAACCGGGGAACUGCAGUUAAUACUGCUGUGCUAGAGUGCAGAAGAGGAGAGUGGAAUUCUAGGUGUAGCGGUGGAAUGCGAAGAUAUCUAGGAGAAGGCCGGUGGCGAAAGCGACUCUCUGGUCUGUUACUGACGCUGAGGUGCGAGAGCGCAGGUAGCGAACGGGAUUAGAUACCCCGGUAGUCUGUGCCGUAAACGAUGGGCACUAGAUGGUGGAGGCGCCGAUAGCUUUCUCCGUCGCAGCUAAUACGUUAAGUGCCCCGCCUGGGGAGUAUGGCCGCAAGGUUAAAACUCGAAGGAAUUGACGGGGGCCCACACAAGCGGUGGAGGAUGUGGCUUAAUUCGAGGAUACCCGUAAAACCUUACCGAGGCUUGACAUGCAGGUGGUAGUGAAGUGAAAGCGGAACGACCCGAAUAGGGAGCCUGCACAGGUGCUGCAUGGCUGUCGACAGCUCGUGUCGUGAGAUGUUAGGUUAAG
rnacentral:rRNA from 1 species